rnacentral:lncRNA from 1 species
ACAACUCUGGCAAACACGUUUAUGAUUAAGUUCGUUCUUUUCAAAUUUGUUUAUUUAUUUAUUUAUUUUAAGAUCUAGAUUAGGUGACGAGGAUAAUGAAACCCACCCACCAAACACUAAAUCUUACUCUCCGUAUAUACUCGAACUCGGGUGAUGGCGGAAGUGAAUUCAUAGCCAGUCGAGCCCAGCCACCCAGGGGUCUCCUUCAUAUUUAUUUGUAAAAAGUUCUCUAAACUUUCAAUUUCUGGUGUCUUCACUGUUUUAUCCUUAAAUAUGAAAAGAUGUAAUAAGUUAAAGUUAACACAACCGUUUUUAACUUCACGGGGAAUUUUGAUGACUUUUGAAGCAUUGGGAAAAAGUGAAUUUACUAGCUAAUGACAGAUUUUAGAACUCAGUGGUUGAACUCUCUUAAUUAACUUAUUAAACCUCUAAUUAAAGGUUAUUGUGACACGUGUGCAUAUUGUCUAACGAUAUUUCACUUUUUAUAUACAUAUUAUUAAUUAAUCAUGCCGGUGAUAAAAUCAGAUGUAAAAUAUUUGUGGCAGGGUGUUGCUGUUUGGAAAAUGUUUCGUAGCACUGGACAAGAACUACAAAACACAAUGAAGGAAGCCUUGGAAAUGCUACAAACCGUUGAAGAGCAUGGCUUGGGAGAGAAGAAAUUUUUCAAUGGAGACAAUAUUGGCUUAGUGGACCUAGCGUUUGGUUCAAUUGUUUAUUGGUUGCAAGUCAUUGAAGAUGCAGUGGGAGUUAAACUAUUUGAAUCACACAAAUUCCCUCGCUUGCAUGCCUGGCUUGAAAAUUUCAAGCAAGUCCCCAUAAUUGAAGAAAACCUUCCCAAUCAGGAUGAAAUGUUGGUUGUUUUCAAACGCCGUCGCGAACAGUUCUUGUUUUGCUUUUGUUUUGGUAUCUAAAAACGUUCUUUUUUUUUUCUUUUUUUAAAUUACUGUCUUAUGCUAAGUUCGGGGGACUAGCAUAGUGGUUACUUUUUAUGGAUAUGAAUAAUAAAAUAAGGGACUCGAUUUGUCUAUAUAUUAAUUUCUAUCUUUCUCUUGACAAUAUUCAAAAAAAUAUAUAGAAAAUUAAUUUCUAUCUUUCUCUUAAAAAUAUUCAAAAAAAUAAAUACAAAAUUAUAAGAGUAAAACAUUAAACAUUUAUAUAUCUAAUUUGAGGGUGAUAAUAUUUCCACCCUAUUAUUUUUUAGACACAUCCCACAUCCAAGGGUUGUGUUUUUUGUUUUGUGUGAAAAUAACUCAAUCCCUAAUUAAUGUUACAACUUCUAACUAUUCAAAUCCGCCCCAGCGUUAGUGCAGCGACGACCUAGAGGGUGGUGGUUUGUUCUUCUUUAGUUGUUGACACAGGAUAUUACAUGGCUUGAGGUUUUCUCGUUGGCACAUUGCUACUCCAACAAUUGGCUUUUGUUAUAUUUUUUUUUUCUUUUGUAAAUUGCUAAACGACGUAGGUUUAGGUUUAACUGUUAUAAUUUAUAAUUUUAGUAACGGUGUUGUCUUUUAAUAGAUAGGAGCCAAAUAAUCUAGAAAUUAAAUUGUUGGGAGAGACAAUGAGCCAUAACAUAGAAUCAGUGAACUUUAGGGUCUCUAAGUAUCCUUUGUCUAAAAUUAUUAAUUAUUAAUUUAAAUGUUUGAAAAUCUUAACACAUUUCACAUUUUGAGCAAGGUUUGUUCAUAGAGGUGGCAAAAAAACCCGUCCGGUCCGGAUCCGGACCGGACCCAGCUCAUACGGUCUGGGUUUUACCCGGCCCGUAUUAAAAAAGAAACCGGUUCCGGGUUUUGGAAAUUAAUACCCGGAUAAUUCCGGGCACAGAUCCGGGCAGAACCCCAAAAACCCAGAACCCGGAUCAGCGCCCGGUUAAAAUUUUUUAAUUUUAAAAAAUAAAAUAAAAAUAUAUAUAUCACAUUACAUUUACAAACCCUAAAACUCUGAUAAACUUACACUCCCAAAGCCGCCGCUCCCUCCCCUUCAACACUCCAAGUCAACUCCCUCAUCGUCAACUCUCCAAGUCAACUCCCUCAUCUUCAACUCUCCAAGCCAAGUAGCCAACGCCCAGCAGCAACAACCCUCACCCCUCCUUUUCAAACGCACAAAGAAACCUUAAAUCUCAAUCCAAGAAUAAAUUAAUAGAAAUAUUUUCUUAUUCUUAUUCUUCUUUCUUCUUUUUUCUCUCUCUCUUUUCCCACUUCUUAGAUCUGGUCUGUGACCCACCGUGCACAACACCUCCACAUCAUAGCCAUGUUUGUGCAGCAACCGUCUUGUUAGUUUGUUCUUUGUUGUUUGAUAUUUUAAAAUUUUCAUAUAUUAUAUUGAUAGUUGGUAUUUUAUUUGUCAAUUGUAAUUAUUAUGCUACUUAAUUUAAGUUUUUGGUGGAGAUUGAAAUGAAUGAAUUUAGGAAGAGAUUGAAUGAAUUUUAUUUACUUCAAAUUUGCAAAGUAGAUUGAAAUAAUUAAGAUGUUGUAAUAAUUUAUUACAGGAUUUCUUCCCUUUUAAUUCAAUUUAUAUGGGCAGAGGAAACCCGGAUAAAAAAAUCCGUGCUCGGAUAGUGUCGGGCUUAGCCCGGCCCGCAUAUGAAAAAUCUGGGCACGGUCCGGGUCCGGACAGCUAUGUGUAUCAUGCGGGUCGGUCCCGGGCAACCCCAAACCCGAACCCGACCAUGACUUUUGCCAUCCCUAUUUGUUCAUACGUGAUUCCUAACCUUUUAGAUGAUAUUAUUUAUCAAGAAAGUCUUGGGUAUUCUCAGGCACCUCAUUAUUAUGCUAGCAUGAACAAUACUCCCCCCCAAUCAAAUUUUUGUGUUGUUUAGCAUCUCUUUUUGCUUGUAUUUCUAUGUUGUCAAGCAACUUCAUCAAAUGUUUUGUUAAGCUUUUACAUUCAUAUGUUAAAUUUACAACCUAUUUGAUGUUUCACCUCGAUGACCUAGGUUUGAUUCCUGAUUUUUUUUUUAACCACCGAAAAAGUGGGGUUAGGUGGGACCCCUAUCUGAAUCUCACAAAUUGUAAUGGGAGUGAAACUAUUUGAAUCUCACAAAUUCCCAAGCUUGCAUGAGUGGUUGAAAAUUUCAGGAAAUUCCUUGUAAUUGAAGAAACUCUUCCAAAUCAGCAUGAGAUGGUGAUCGCUUUCAAACGUGGUGAGGAAACAUUGGUGACAUCUGCGUGAAUGUAAUAUCAUAAAAUAAGUUUGUGAUUCUCACUUUGUGCUUGUUUUAUUUUUGUACUGUUGCUAAAACAGAUCCUUCUACUUUGUUUAAUUAAUUUUACUAUUGAGACAAACUCCUUGUUGGGUGCUAUUUAAUGGAUAUAAAUAAUUAAUAAAUGAAACUCCAUUUUACAUAUUUCUAUUCUCAGUUUCUCUUAACAUCAUAUAAAAAGUAAUAAGCAUGCAUUUUAAGCAUACAUUUUUAUAAGGCGCAACAUUACAAAGUUAUAUAUCCAAUUGAAAUAUAUAUAUAUAUAUAUAUAUAUCUGUUGAAAACUAGGGGAUAUAUCUAAUUCUAUGCUAAAAUUCAAGGAUGCCGCUGAACAUUUUGCUAAUUAAUUUUGCACCUUCUAACAAUUAAGACUGCCCGUGUCCUUGCAUUAUAGCAGCUGGGGAUGGUAAUGGGAAUUGGCUGCUGCAGAUUUGUUAUUACUAAGUGUUUGUUUGGUAUGAUUUAUUUAAUGGUUAUAAGUGCUUAUUUAAUCUCAUAAGCUCUUAUCAUAAUUUUAAGUAAAUUUUAUACAACUCUUAUCACCAAUUAAUUAGACAAAGAAAAAUUUAACUUUAGCAAACAAUCAAUAUGUUCAAGUCAUUAAAGCAAAAUAUUUCAAAGUAAUUAAAUUAAAAUAAAAUAGCAUUCAUAUUAAGCUUGAAAAGUACAAAAUUUUACUUAUUAAAAAGUUAAUGUAUCCAUCUUAAAAUACAUACGGAUACUAGAAGGAGCAAGGCAUGCAUAUACUAGGAGUAAGGCAUGCAGCUGUAAUGAGUUAGAUUAGGUUUAAGAAUUUUGAAGACUAGAGUAAUAACUUUAACUUAUAUACUUAAAGAAAAUCUUCCAAAUCAGCGUGAGUUGGUGAUCUCUUUCGAACGUGGUCGGGAAACAUUGGUGGUACUUGUGUGCAGGGGCGAAGGUAAGAGUGGGCUAACCCGGGCUGCAGCCCGGGUAAACUUUUUUUUUUUUUUAAAAGUUAAGUAUAAUUUAUAAAUUUAACUUUAUUAAUACUUAUAAAAAAAUAAAUAAAUCUAAUAGCCCACCCCAUAAAACAAUACUAGCUUCGCCACUGCUUGUGUGAAUGUAAUAUCAUAAAAUAAGUUUGUGAGUCUUCUUUUACACUUGUUAUGUUUUUGUACUGGUGUUAAAAAUGUUCUUUCUAUUUUGUUUAAUUAAUUUUACUAUUGAAGUGAGCUUCAAAGUGCUAUUUAGUGGAUAUAAAUAAUUAAUAAAUGAGACUCCAUUUUAUAUAUUUCUAUUCUCAACUUCUCAUAGCAGUACAUAAAAAAUAAGAAGCACGCAUUUUAAGCAUACAUUUUACAAGGUGCAACAUUACGAAGUUGUAUAUCCAAUUGAAAUGGAAAAAAAAAAAAAAUUAAGUAAACAACAUGGGAAUCAGAGAGUAACUUUUUGAAAACAAGGGGAUAUAUCUAAUUCUAUGGCUAUACUUCAGGGACGCCGCUGAAAAUUUUGCUAAUUAAUGUUGCAACUUCUAACAAUUCAAGACCGCCCCCGGCCCUCCGUAAUAGAAGCUGCUGAUGGUAAUGAGUAUCACUUAUUAUGGGUUUGUCAUUAUUAAACUGGCCAGUAACCGGUUGCCUUUUUUUUUUUUUUUUUAAAGUUCGUUCGCUAUAAUUUUUAAUAAUUAGUAAAUCCAUCCACAACACGCAAUAGGUUUUUUUUAGAUGUUUAUAUUUAAAAUCACAAAUAUUUAAAAAAAUUAUAUCUAAUAAUUUAAAUUACAUAAUUUUAAAUAUAAUUUUAUAGUAACAGCCUAAAAAAUCUACAUAAAUUACUCAAUUUUAGAUUUUAUCAAUGUAAAAGAGAAAUUAAAGUUUCAAUAUUAAAACAAAUACAAAAAAUAUAUCAUUCUAACACAAAAUAAUUUUGUUGUAGGCAAAUAAUCAUUACUAAGAUUAAUGCCUUGCUCUAUCUUUUAGUUAAUAUACAAGUAUUGUUAACAAUAUUAACAAAUAUAUUUUGGACAACUAUUGACCAUUAAUUAGACAAAUAAAAAUUCAAUCUUAGCCAGCAAUCACUAAGUUCAAGUCAUUAAAGCGAAACAAACAAAAGUAAAUAAAUUAAAUUAAAAUAUCAUUAAUAUUAAACUUGAAAAAUACUAAAUCUACUUAUUAAAAGCUUAUUUUUUGUGUGUGUGCGUGUGUAUACAACUAUACAUUUACAUUCAUACAUACUUGAAGGAGUAGGGUGUGUAACUGUAAUGAGUUAGGUUAGGUUUAGGAAUUUGAAAGAUUAGAGUAAUAACUUUAACUAUUAUAUUUUUAUGAUUAAAUUUUUUUAAAACAAUCUUUGUGAUUAAAAUUAAAAACACAAAUAAUUAAAAAAAAUGUGGGUCGGCAAACACCGGCCAAAUUUUUUUCUCAAUACUGAAUUCAUUUGUAACCUGCAAUGAACUUCAAUUUAAAAUACCAAAUUUACUUGCAAUCUACAAAAUUUACAGAUUGACGGCAAAUUUUGCCGUCCUAAUAGCAGCGAUCGCCUAGAGGAUAGUGGGUUGCUAUUAUUCUUUAGUUCUAUACACAUGAUAUGUCUAUGUAUUUUUGAACAACUUGCGAGAGUUAACUUCAAAUUUAUUUACAAUCAUACCAUCACAUGAUGUGAAUUAAAUUUUGUCGGAAGCGAAAGAGAAAUUGGCAAAAAAAAAAAAAGAAGGAUUAGUGAAGUAAUUAAUAAAAAGUUAUCUUGACAAUAAAUUUUUUUUAUUAAAAAGUGGAUGUACAAAGAGAAACUAUUAUGGGUAAAAAAAAACCCAGUUAAAUAAAAAGUGGAUGAUAUAUAUGUGUGUUUCUGGGCCCCAAACAGAUAGUGCAAAGUGCUAGCAAAUUUUAUAGAUCUACUCCUCCAGCCUGGCCGACUUUUACCGCCUAAUAUUAUCUGAAUUUAUUGAAAGCUGUAAAUUACAAAAAUGAAACUGCAAGUUACCUCCGUCAAUUCCACAAAUUAAAUAAUAGGGGACCCAUAAGAUUUAAAAAAAAAAAUCAUGGGUCCUGUUAUAAGAUUCACGAACUAAAUAACAGGUCCUUUAUGAUCAGGUGUAUUAUUUUAAAAAAAAAUGUAUUAAAAAAUAAUUUAGUCCAAUUUUUUUUAUAACAAAUUAUAUUUGCGUCCAAUGUGAACACAUGCACAAAAGGCAAAUGACUUGUUGACUAAUUGAUAUAUGAUCAAUUGAUCAUCAUGCAUGACGCAAAGGUCUUAAAUGUAAAACAAAUGGCAAAAUUUUGAUUAAUUAUUGAAUGGUUGUCUCUGACUGGUUGACCAAAUCAGUGAUCUCAUUAAAGUCAUCGUACUAGUUCUUUGAAUUCAUCAUUAAUCGUUUUAUUAAUGGGAAAUCGAAGCUUUCUGCUCAAGAAAGCGCAUUCCAUAAAUCACUAUAAAUUCAGAAACAUGUGUAAUGAGUUAUCAGCUAUACUCAGGAUCGACCAAAAAACCUGAUAUUCAAAUUCAAUCUAAGAAUUAUCAUGGCUGAAGUGAAGCUUCAUGGGGCAGUACUGCCGAGUCCAUUUGUUUACAGGGUGAUUUGGGCUCUGAAAUUGAAAGGCGUGCCAUAUGAAUUUGUUGCAGAAGAUCUCUCAAACAAAAGUGCUUCGCUUUUGAAGUACAAUCCAGUUCACAAGAAGAUCCCAGUGCUUGUCCAUGGCGGAAAACCAGUUUGUGAGUCCAUGGUUAUUCUCGAAUACAUCGAAGAGACGUGGCCACAGAAUCCCUUGAUGCCAAACAAUCCUUAUGAUAGAGCUCUUGCUCGAUUCUGGAUUAAAUUCGCCGAAGACAAGGUUUGCUCACAACACUAGCAAACACGUUUGUAAUUAAGUUCAUUCUUUUCAAAUUUAUUUUUUUUAUUUUUUUAUUUUAAGAUCUAGAUUAGGUGACGAGGAUAAUGAAACCCACCCACCAAACACUAAAUCUUACUCUCCAUAUAUACUCGAACUCGGGUGAUGGCGGAAGUGAAUUCAUAGCCAGUUGAGCCCAGCCACCCAGGGGUCUCCUUCAUAUUUAUUUGUAAAAAGUUCUCUGUAACUUUCAAUUUCUGAUGUCUUCACUGUUUUAUCCUUAAAUAUGAAAAGAUGUAAUAAGUUAAAGUUAACACAACCUUUUUUAACUUCACGGGGAAUUUUGAUGACUUUUGAAGCAUUGGGAAAAAGUGAAUUUACUAGAACGACAGAUUUUGCAACUCAGUGGUUGAACUCUUAAUUAACUUAUUAAACCUCUAAUUAAAAGAUAUUGUGACAUGUGUGCAUAUUGUCUAACAAUUUUUCACUUUUAUAUACAUAUUAUUAAUUAAUCAUGUCGGUGAUAAAAUCAGAUGUAAAAUAUUUGUGGCAGGGUGUUGCUGUUUGGAAAAUGUUUCGAAGCACUGGACAAGAACUACAAAACACAAUGAAGGAAGCCUUGGAAAUGCUACAAACCAUUGAAGAGCAUGGCUUGGGAGAGAAGAAAUUUUUCAAUGGAGACAAUAUUGGCUUAGUGGACCUAGCGUUUGGUUCAAUUGUUUAUUGGUUGCAAGUCAUUGAAGAUAUAGUGGGAGCUAAACUAUUUGAAUCACACAAAUUCCCUCGCUUGCAUGCCUGGAUUGAAACUUUCAAGCAAGUCACUUUGAUUGAAGAAAAUCUUCCUAAUCAGGAUGAACUAUUGGUUGCUCUCAAACUUCGUCGUGAACAGUUGAUGGCUUCUGCUUGAAUGCAGGCGUCUUGAAUGCUUAUUCUUUGCGCUAGACAAGCAAAGUUAUGGAUAUGAAUAAUAAAAUAAGGGACUCGAUUUGUCUAUAUAUUAACUUCUAUCUUUCUCUUAACAAUAUUCAAAAAAAUAAAUAGAAAAUUAUAAGAGUAAAACAUUAAACAUUUAUAUAUCUAAUUUGAGGGUGAUAAUAUUUCCACCCUAUUAUUUUUUAGACACAUCCCACAUCCAAGGGUUGUGUUUUUUGUUGUGUGCAUCCAAGGGUUGUGUUUUUUGUUAAUUAUAAGAGUAAAACAUUAAACAUUUAUAUAUCUAAUUGGAGGGUGAUAAUAUUUCCACCCUAUUAUUUUUUAGACACAUCCCACAUCCAAGGGUUGUGUUUUUUGUUUUGUGUGAAAAUAAACUUUUUUCUUUUACAGAUGUUAUAAUUGUAUUGAUAUAUUUAUAAUCAUAUUUCUAUUGGGACUCAUUUAAAUCAAAGUCCAAAAUUUUACCAUCAAUCCCUAAUUAAUGUUACUACUUCUAACUAUUCAAAUCGGGUCCAGCGUUAGUGCAGCGACGGCCUUGAGGGUGGUGGUUUGUUCUUCUUUAGUUGUUGGCACAAGAUAUUACAUGGCUUGAGGUUUUCUCGUUGGCACGUUGCUGCUCCAACACUUGGCUUUUGUUAUAUUUUUUUCUUUUGUAAAUUGCUAAACGACGUAGGUUUAGGUUUAACUGUUAUAAUUUAUAAUUUUAGUAACGGUGUUGUCUUUUAAUAGAUAGGAGCCAAAUAAUCUAGAAAUUAAAUUGUUGAGUGAGACAAUGAGCCAUAACAUAGAAUCAGUGAACUUUAGGGUCUCCAAGUAUCCUUUGUCCGAAAUUAUUAACUAUUAAUUUAAAUGUUUGAAAAUCUUAAUACAUUUCACAUUUUGAGCUAGGUUUGUUCAUACGUGGACAAUCAUCUGUGAUUCCUAACAUUUUAGAUGAUAUUAUUUAUCAAGAAAGUCUUAGGUAUUCUCAGGCACCUCAUUAUUAUACUAGCAUGAACAAUACUCCCACCCAAUCAAAAUUUUGUGUUGUUUAAUUAGCAUCUCUUUUUGCUUGUAUUUCUAUGUUGUCAAGGAACUUCAAAUGUUUUGUUAAGCUUUUACGUUAUAUGUUAAAUUUACAACCUGUUUGAUGUUUCACCUUGAUGACCUAGGUUUGAUUCCUGACUUUUUUUUUAACCACAAAAAAGGUGGGGUUAAGUGGGACCCCUACAUUUCAUAUAAAUCAUAGAAUGAAUCAAAUACAUAAGGAGGUGAAUAUAAAUCAAAACCACAAUUGCAAGAACAUAAGAAUGGAAAAGAGAAAAAUACAAGAUAAAAAAUAGAACCCAAAAAUAAGCAAUCGUAUGACCUGAUAUGAGAAAUUACCCACAAUUCAAACAAAGAUUAUUAGAUAGGAGAGAUAUCUUGAGAACCUAAGAAACGCCGAUGAACUUGAAGAGUGCAGGCCAAAGAAAUCAGCAGUAGAAGUUGCCUUCUGAAGCACAUGACUAACCACGAAGUAGAAGAAAAUGUCAAACUACACACUCGAUGCAAAGAAUAGGUAUAGUCCGAAUGAACAAGGCCUUGGAAAAGAAUCCAAGAAGCCACCAUGGCUCAGUCUGACUCUACGUUAAGCACAUAAUAAUGGAGCUGAGCACCAACUCUAACCCCUCAAAAACAGCCAUGAAUUAUGCAUGAAAGUUCAGUUAGCGCCCAAGGAAGGAACCAAAAGCAGCCAAAGCCACACCCCGAUGAUCACGUAAACUACUAUCUGAAGCAGCCAUCCUAGGAUUACUUCUAAAGCAACCAUCAAUAGUCAGCUUAACCGCCCCAGGUGGUGACCACAGCCAAAAAAUUAAAAGAAUCAACCUCCUGGAUGAAAUAACAACUCUCAAGCACUUUGCAAACCGAGAACCUAGAACUCCUCACAGUUGGGAUGGUUUAAGACCAAAGGCAGAACCAGCAAGCCUAAGAUCCAACAUUGCCCGAUAAAUAACGGCAUCAACAAAAAACGCCAUUGAGUCAAACUUCAAUGCAUUACAGGCCUUCUAAACUUGCCACAAAAUGAAACAAGGAAGAAGAACUCAAAUAUGGCUCCAAGAAAGGGCACAUCACUACCAAUUAAGAAAUAAAGUACGGGGGAACAUAAAAGCAACUUAGCGCAAAUCAAGAGUACAUAGAAAAUGGACCCAAACUGGCCUAACUCGAGGGCAAUCAAGAAAUAAAAUACCUAGAAGUCUCAGAAGCCUAACCAUAAAGAUACUAAGAAACUAUGCAUAAAUCCCCCAAACACGAGGCAUCAUCUGUGGUCAAGAAUUUGUGUCACAACCUCUAGAGAAAAAAGGAUAUUUAGGAAAAGAUAUGUCGUUGCCAAAUAACAAAAAAAACCUCAUCACUUGGUAUUGUCCAAUGCACAAUAUUUGAAGCAGUCCUCAAAGAAAAACUACCAUCAGGAGAAAGGUCCCACAGAAUCACAUCUGGUUCUCCACUAGAGAUAGGAAUUAAAAGAAUAUGCACAACAAUUAAAAAGGGCAGCACAUCCUGAAGUUUACCCCUAUCUCAUAUUGUAUCUUGCCAAUAAAAAGAAAUUGGCACCAGAUAAGCCACCACGGGAUUAUAAAAGGCCAAAGGACAAGAGCCUAGCCAACAAUCAUACCAAAAACAACCCUCGGCCAAACAACCAACACACAUGAAGCUCAACAACAUAUUGAAUCAAGCAAAGGUGCCUCCAAAGAGGGUAGGCGGGAUAUCAAAACUAAACCAUACUCGGAUGUGCAGCUCUACAAUACUUGGACUUCAUAAAAGAAGCCCAUAAUGAAAGCUGCUCCUGAAAAAGACCAUACCAUUAAAAGACAGGCUUAAUUUUAAUUAAAUUAAGUCAAAGCUUAAGCUCAAAAGCCUUAACCAUAUCAUUAAAAGACUGGAUACUCAGGCAGCCCUCCUCAAUUGGAUAACAAACUGCCAUCCAUCCACAACAGCGAAUCUAUCGUCUAGUCUCAGAGUCACCCCAUAAGAACUGGGUGAAAAGUCUCUCUAAGUGCACAACAACUAUUGGUGGGCAGUCCUGACCUUCUACAUGAAAAUAUCGAGAAAGUCUUGGGUAUUAUCGGGCAACUCAUCAUUAUGCUAGCAUGAUCAAUAAUCCCACCCAAUGAAAAUUUCGGGCUGUAUUCUUUGGCAUCUCUUUUUGCUUGUAUUUCUAUGUUAUCAAGCAAUUUCAAAUUUUUUUUAAGCUUUUACGUUCAUGUGUUAGAUUUACAAGCUUUAUGAUGUUUCACCUUGCUGAAGUGAAAAUUAAACUUAAUUUAUAUUGAAAUUAUCUAGAAGCUUCAAUUUUUAAAUAAUAUUACUUAUUAUGCAUUGUAGAUAAAAAAAAAAAAAAAGGAUUCGCAAUAAGUACAUGAAUGAUGCGUUGAUUUUAACCAUGCUAUCAAACAAAAAUGAAAAGAAGUAUUUGUGUUUCAAUGGUAUAGUCAAAGACAGCAGCUCGGCAACCUAACUUGCUGGGCACCCACCUGAUUGAUGCCUUGAUUUUAACCGUGCUAUCAAACAAGAAUGAAAAGAAGUAUUUGUACUUCAAAGGUACAGUCAAAGACAGCGGCUGGGCAACCUGACUUGCUGCGCACCUUCCUGAUUGAUGCCUUGAUUUUAACCGUACUAUCAAACAAGAAUAAAAAGAAGUAUUUGUGCUUCAAAGGUAUCGCCAAAGACAGCAACGUGCAACUUGACUUGCUGGGCACCCAAGCUCUCUAAUACAAGUGAUCCAUGAUCGUCAUGCAUGACGCAAAUAUAUUAUUUUGGGAAAGAAAUGCCUAUUGUAUAAUUGAUGCACGGGUAUCUGAGUAGUUGACCAAAUUAAUGAUCUCAUUAGCUGGCCUUUUUAAUUAAUCAAAACAUAGAUGUAAUUUGAAAAUUAAUAAAAUAGAUGUAAUUUGAAAAUUAAUAAAAACAUGACUCCUUUUUUAAAUUAAAAAUAGGAUCACUUGUUAAUUCAACAUUGUUGAAGAGUAUGAGAGGGGGAAAAAGAAAGAAAGAAAGAGAGGAUCUUAUCCAUAUUAUUUAUAUAUAUUGGGGCAGGGUGGAGCUGUUUUUUAACCACUGGACAAGAACAAUAUUGGCUUAGUGGACCUAGCGUUUGGAUGGGUUGCAAGUCCUUCAAAGGUAUAGUGCUGGUUUAGUAUUAGGUUAUUUAAUGGUCAUAUAUAUUUAUUUAAUUUUAAAAAAAAAUUUCAAAAUUUUUGUUAUUCUUUGGUUUUAUUUUGAAUUUAGCUUUUGGGAUUAAAUAAAUUAUUUUGACUCUAUUAGAAAAAAUUUAAAUUUUGAGUUUUUUGGAGUAGAGAUUAGAAAGUUUUUUUAAAUGAUUAAAUUAUCUAAUAUGCCCAUUAUUUAUUUUAUAUUCUUAUUUUAUUCGUAUCCAUUUCACAACAUAACUUAGAAAACUUGUACAUUAAAAUAAAUUGAUAAUUUUUAAUAAAAUCUCUUUUGACAACUGAUGAACUAAACAAUUUUUUUUUUGGAUAAAAGAUCUAUUUGUAAAAACUCUACUAAUUGAAUGCCUAUUCGAAUAAAUUCUAUUUAAAAAGUUAUACAAAAUGGGGCCAUAGAGGGAGUGAAGCUAUUUGAAUCUUAAAAAUUCCCGCCAUAGAGGGAGUGAAGCUAUUUGAAUCUUAAAAAUUCCCUAGCUUACACACGAGUGGUUUAAAAAUUUCAAGCAAGUCUCCUUAAUUGAAGAAUAGCUUCCAAAGCAGGAUGAGAUGGAGGAUCUCUUUCAAACAGUUGAUGGAAAAUGUUGGUGGCAUCUGGAUAGAUGCAAUAUUAUGAUUUUUUUUAAAUAUUUUGUGUCUUGCUUUAUGCUUGUUUUGUUUUUGUAUUGGUGUUAAAAAGAGUACUUUUGCUUUGUUUAAUUUUACUAUUGCGGCAAGUGAUAUUAUGAAAAGGAUUUGAUCUAAUUUAUGGGUAUCAUCUGGCUGAAAGCAAGAGAUCUGAGAUUCGCACCCUACUAAAAUGGGUGGGGAAGCGACUAGGUUUUUGUUAGGUUAAAAAAUAAAAGAAAUAAAAAAAAUAAAAGGAAUGGAAUAAGAUCAUUAAAUAAAUAAAAGGGUAUUCUACACAAUUUAUUCUUUAAGUACUAUGACUAUCACUCUCAAAAAUCUAAUUUUUAAGGUUUUACUAAUAGAAACAAAAUAACUUAUUUAAUCUUCAAAAGUUAUACUCAAAAUACAAUCAAACUAUCGAAGUUGUCCCACAUGGGUUGUGAAAAGGGCUAUUGGUGAUUUUAUAAAUAUCAAGAAAAUCUCACCCCCGAAGCUAGCUUUUGGGGUUGAGAGAAGUUUAAGACUACCUAACACUAGUAUCAGUGUCCACAUUCACCAACAAUCUCAAUCCAACAAUCUAAUAAAGAGAACGAGUGUCUAUCUUCUGACCCAAGGCCCGAUGUGUGAGGGGAAUUGUUGGAGUUAUCCCACUGUUGGGCGUUAGAUAUUUUAUACUAAACAAACACUACGUUAGAUAGAAAAUUAAAAAUAUUAAAAAUAAUUUUGAUUGAAUUUUUUUCAUAACAAAUUACUAUAUUGACUUCCAAUGUGGACACAUGCACAAAAGGAAAAUAUCUUGUUAAUUGAUCAAUGAUCAUCUGACGCAAAGAUAUUAAAUGAUAAAAAUUUGAUUAAUUAAUGCGUGGUUAAUUAUCUGACUAGUUUAUAUUAACCAUCCAAAUACAGACGUAAUUAAUUUGCACACAAAGUUGAAAACAUGUAUUUUGUUGAAAUCUUAUUGGCUCUUUGAAUUCAUCAUUAAUCGUCUUAUUAAUGGAAAUUUGAAGCUUUCGGCUAAGUGCUAAAGAAAGCACAUUCCAUAAAUCACUAUAAACUCAGAAACAUAUGUAAUAAAUUAUCAGCUAUACUCAACAUCAAAUUCAAUCUUAGAAUUAACAUGACUGAAGUGAAGCUUCAUGGGGUAUUGCUGAGUCCAUAUGUUUACAGAGUGAUUUGGGCUCUGAAAUUGAAAGGCGUGCCAUACGAAUUUGUUGCAGAAGAUCUCUCAAACAAAAGUGAUUUGCUUUUGAAGUAUAAUCCAGUUUAUAAGAAGAUCCCUGUGCUUGUCCAUGGCGAAAAACCAGUUUCUGAGUCCAUGGUUAUUCUCGAGUACAUUGAAGAGAUGUGGCCACAGAAUCCCUCCUUGAUGCCAAACGAUCCUUAUGAUAGAGCUCUUGCUCGAUUUUGGAUUAAAUUCAUCGAAGACAAGGUUCGCACCACAACUCUAGCAAUCCCGUUUAUAAAUAUAUUCUUCUCAAAUUUAUUUAUUUAUUUGAGGUUUCGAUUAGACCAUAAGAAUAAAGAACUUCACCCACUAAAACCCCAACUCUUGUCCUUUGUUACUCGAACUCGGGUCAUAGUACGUAUAGCGGAUUCACAGUCAAUCAAGCCUAGUCGCUCAAUAGCCUUUUUCAUAUUUAUUUGUAAAAAACUCUUUAAACUUUCAACUCCUUGUUUCUUCACUACUUUGUUUCUAGAAAUUUUUAUUAACCAGUAGUGGAUUUAACUUCAUCAGGGAUAAAUAUUAAAAGAUACAAAACGUUAAAUUUAAUAUAAUUGUUUUUAAAUAUGAGGGGAUUUUGAUUAUUUAAAAAAAAACAUAUAGACUAAAAGUAAUGAAUUUACUAACUCUCUUAACUGACUUUUCAAACCUUUAAUUAAAGGAUAUUGUGACUUGUGUAAGUAUUGUCUAAUUUUUUUAGCAUACAACAUAUAUAUUAAUCAUGUGGUGAUAAUAAUUAGAUUAAAAAAUACUGUGGCAGAUUGUUGCUAUUUUGGGAUUGUUUCGUAGCAUUACUGGACAAGAACUAGAGAAUGCAACGAAGGAACUCUUGGAAAUCCUACAAACCCUUGAAGAACAUGGGCUGGGAGAGAAAUUUUUUUUCAAUGGAGACAAUAUUGGCUUAGUUGACAUAGCAUUUGGUUCAAUGCUUUUUUCGAUGCAAGUCAUUGGAGACGUAGUGGGAGUUAAACCAUUUGAAUCACACAAAUUUCCUAGCUUGCAUGCCUGGUUUGAAAAUUUCAAACAAAUCUUCAUCAUUAAUCGUCUUAUUAAUGGAAAUUUGAAGCUUUCGGCUAAGUGCUAAAGAAAGCACAUUCCAUAAAUCACUAUAAACUCAGAAACAUAUGUAAUAAAUUAUCAGCUAUACUCAACAUCAAAUUCAAUCUUAGAAUUAACAUGACUGAAGUGAAGCUUCAUGGGGUAUUGCUGAGUCCAUAUGUUUACAGAGUGAUUUGGGCUCUGAAAUUGAAAGGCGUGCCAUACGAAUUUGUUGCAGAAGAUCUCUCAAACAAAAGUGAUUUGCUUUUGAAGUAUAAUCCAGUUUAUAAGAAGAUCCCUGUGCUUGUCCAUGGCGAAAAACCAGUUUCUGAGUCCAUGGUUAUUCUCGAGUACAUUGAAGAGAUGUGGCCACAGAAUCCCUCCUUGAUGCCAAACGAUCCUUAUGAUAGAGCUCUUGCUCGAUUUUGGAUUAAAUUCAUCGAAGACAAGGUUCGCACCACAACUCUAGCAAUCCCGUUUAUAAAUAUAUUCUUCUCAAAUUUAUUUAUUUAUUUGAGGUUUCGAUUAGACCAUAAGAAUAAAGAACUUCACCCACUAAAACCCCAACUCUUGUCCUUUGUUACUCGAACUCGGGUCAUAGUACGUAUAGCGGAUUCACAGUCAAUCAAGCCUAGUCGCUCAAUAGCCUUUUUCAUAUUUAUUUGUAAAAAACUCUUUAAACUUUCAACUCCUUGUUUCUUCACUACUUUGUUUCUAGAAAUUUUUAUUAACCAGUAGUGGAUUUAACUUCAUCAGGGAUAAAUAUUAAAAGAUACAAAACGUUAAAUUUAAUAUAAUUGUUUUUAAAUAUGAGGGGAUUUUGAUUAUUUAAAAAAAAACAUAUAGACUAAAAGUAAUGAAUUUACUAACUCUCUUAACUGACUUUUCAAACCUUUAAUUAAAGGAUAUUGUGACUUGUGUAAGUAUUGUCUAAUUUUUUUAGCAUACAACAUAUAUAUUAAUCAUGUGGUGAUAAUAAUUAGAUUAAAAAAUACUGUGGCAGAUUGUUGCUAUUUUGGGAUUGUUUCGUAGCAUUACUGGACAAGAACUAGAGAAUGCAACGAAGGAACUCUUGGAAAUCCUACAAACCCUUGAAGAACAUGGGCUGGGAGAGAAAUUUUUUUUCAAUGGAGACAAUAUUGGCUUAGUUGACAUAGCAUUUGGUUCAAUGCUUUUUUCGAUGCAAGUCAUUGGAGACGUAGUGGGAGUUAAACCAUUUGAAUCACACAAAUUUCCUAGCUUGCAUGCCUGGUUUGAAAAUUUCAAACAAAUCCCUGUAAUUGAGGAAAACUUUCCUAAUCGAGAUGAAUAUUUUGUUUAUAUCAAACGUCGCCGUGAAGAGCUGUUGGCCUCUGCUUGAAUGCAGUAGCACAAAGUUUGUUUGUAUGUCUCACGUGUGCUUUUUUUGUUCUUGUAUUGGUGUUUAAAGCUGCUCUUUUUUUCUAUGUUUUUGUUAUUGUCUAGUUCCAAGCUCGGGAGGCUAGCUGACCGGGGUUCUUUUAAUAGAUAUGAAUAAUAAAAUAAGGGACUCAAUUUGUAUAUAUUAAUUUCUAUCUUUCUUUUAAUGAUAUUUAAAAAUAAAAUUAAAAAAUUUAUAAGGGUACAACAAACAAUACACACAUGCGCACGCGCGCGCGCGCGCACACACACACACACAUAUAUAUAUAUAUAUAUGAGGGUGAGGGUGGUGAUAUUUCCACCCACUACUUUUGUAAACAUUCAUAUCCAAUGGUUGUAUUUUUAUUUUGCCUAAAAAUAUGUUUUUUUUUAAUAUGCUACACUUGUAUUGAUGCCUUUAUGAUCAGGUCGGCUAGACCAACAUAUUUCCCCGGGGAACCGGUAAAUACUUCGGCUACGAAAAAGGGUUGUGAUAAGAAACGCUCAAUUUUUCGCGCCCUUGCUACUGCUGUACCGUACAUCCGCCUUGGCCGUACAGCAGAUGAUUUUGACUAUUUUUCUACUAUCAAACAAAAAUGAAAGCAAGUACUUGUGUUUCAAAGGUAUAGUCAAAGAGAGCAGCUGGGAACCUUGAUUUGCUGGGCACCUAGGCACUCAAAUACAACUGAUCCAUGAUCAUCAUGCAUGACGCAAUAAGUUAAAUAAAGCAUCGAUCAUGCAUGACGCAAAUAUUAAAUUGGGAAAGAAAUGUCAACUGUAUAAUUGAUACACGGUUAUCUGAGUAGUUGACCAAAUUAAUGAUCUCAUUAGCUAGCCUUUUUAAUUAAUCAAAAUAUAGAUGUAAUUUGAAAAUUAAUAAAAACAUGACCCCUCUUUUAAAUUGAAAAUAGGAUCACUUGUGAAUUCAGCAUCGUUAAAGAAUAUGAGAGAAAGGGAUGAUCCUAAUUUAUUAAAUACAUAGCGAUUAAAAAAAUGAAAAAGAAAAAUAGUGGCAGGGUGCAGCUGUUUCGAAAAUGUUUUUUUCACCAACUGACAAGAUCUAGAGAAUACAAUGAAGGAAGCCUUGGAAAUGCUUCCAACUGUUGAAAAAUAUGGCUUAGGAGAGAAGAAAUUUUUCAAUGGAGACAAUAUUGGCUUCGUGGACCUAAUAUUUGGAUCGGUUCAAGUCCUUAAGAUAUAAUAUAUAAUACCUAUUUGAUAUGAUUUAUUUAAAGGUUAUAAGUACUUGUUUAAUUUUAAUUUUUUUUUCAAAAUUUUUAUUGUUGUUUGGUUUUAUUUUCAGUCGAGCUUAUGAGAAUUAAAUAAGUUAUUUUUACUCUACCAAUAAGUGCUUAAAUUUUAAAUUUUUAAGAGUAGAGAUUAGAAUACUUUUUUAAAAUGUUAGAUUGUCUAGUAUGCUCAUUAUCUAUUUUACAUUCUUAUUUUAUCCAUAUCUAUUUCAUAACAUAACUUUAAAAACUUAUCUACUAAAUUAAUUUUAUAAUUUGCAAAGUUCUUUAGAAAAGCAAUGAAUCAGACAACUAUUUUUUUGGAGUAAAAACUCUAUUAUUUUAAAGUCUAUUUAAAUAAGUUAUAUUUAAAAAUUAUAUCAAAUGGAGCUUUAAUGGGAGUGAAACUAUUUGAAUCUUGUGAAUUCCCUAGUUUGCGCAAGUGGUUUGAAAAUUUCAAGCAAAUUUCUGUAAUUGAAGAAAAUCUUCCGAGUCAAGGUGAGAUGGAUGGUCUCUUUGAAUAAUUUUUUGGAAAUAGUGGUGGCAUGUGCAUGAAUGUUAUUACAUUUUUUUUUUUUUUGUGCCUUGCUUUGAGCUUGUUUUGUCAUUGUACUGGUGCUAGAAAGAGUUCUUGGGCGCUUUUUAAAGGAAAUGAGUAAUAAAAUAGGGUCGAUUUCAUAUAUAUUUUUAUAUCUUCUCUUAACCCUAUUUAAAAAAUAAUAAACAUAAAUGUUAUAAGGUUACAACGUUACGCAGCUGUAUAUCCAAUUGAAAUUAAUAAACUUAGGCAAACAUCAGGAGAAUUAGAAUCUAAUUUUGAGAAUUGGGAACACAGCUAAGUUGUGAAUUAAAUUGUCACAUGCGGUUGAAAAGUGGUAAACAAAAAAAAAAAAAAAAAAAGUUAGCAAUGUAAUUUUUUAAUAUAUUUAAAAAUUUUAAUAUAAAGAGAAAUUAUUUUGGGCACCAAAAUAUUGACUGCUAAGAAAUAUGAUAGAUCUAAUCCCUAUCGCCUAAUUAGUAUUAUCAUAAUUUACUGAAAGUUGUAAAAUACAAAACUCAUGUUAUUUCGAUGUCAAGACCGAGGACUUGCUACUUAAUUUUUACAUGAACUUUAUGGUGGGACUCAUACUUAUGGGUUCCAUAAUCCAUAUUAUAUUUAUGGAACCCGAUAAUCAAUUUGCAGAAACUUGAUUGAGGUAGGAGUGAUGGAUCUUUAAUCCUACCUUGUUUGAUCCUUAAUUCAACGUUGGACUUAUAUGUGGAUAAUUAUAUGUUAUAAACUGUCAUAUAAGGUUAAGUCCUAUUAAAAGUAAUCUAUUCAAACAUUUGGUGAUUUGAGCCUUUUUUUUUUUUUUUUUUUGGUACAUAGGGAGCCCUCAAAGAGGGUUAAGACGGUACUAGACGGGGAUAGCCAACCCCAUACAUAUCAUGCCAGACAAAAGGAUUAAUAAAGGCCGGUGGGGAGUUAAAAAUAUGGAGGCCCAACGGCAAAGAGUGAGCAUAAUUAGCCAGAGCAUCUGCAGCAUAAUUCGCCUCACGAUAAAUAUGCUUGAGAUCAACAUUCCAAUCACGCUUCAGCAUCUCCUGGAUUGGACAAGAUAAGCUGAUAAUACCCAUUAGGGGCAUUAUUAACACUUACAACCAAGUCAUAGACACAUAAACUAUCCACUUCCACCAAUAGCCAUCGAAUACCGACCUCCCAGGCCAAUAAUAAGCCUUGAUAAAGGCCCUAAAGUUCAGCAAGCGUAAUCGAGCAGCAACCUAUAUUGUGACUGAAUCGUCUAAUCUACUAACCCUUAUGAUCUCGAAUAAUGCCUCCUACACUAGCUAGGCCAGAUUUUUUUGCAAGAGCCGUUCGAAUUUAAUUUGCACCAGGGCCAUACUGGAGGUGACCCAUAAAUCCAUAAUUCCUUCUUGAAUGCCGUCGUAACUACCACAGAUUCAUGAAAGCAUUGAAUCUCAUCAGCCCUCAAACAAAUGUCAUGAAACAUGUGAUUGCUGUCAACAUUAACGUUAUUGAAUUGAAAAUUAUUCCUUCAAUACCAAAGCCUCCAAAUAGUGACACCAAAAAUACAGCUUCAAUCAACAUUUCGGCGCGUCUGCUCCUUACUUCGAAUAUUAAAAAAUAACCAAUCCUUAAGAGACAGAGAAAAAAAGUCAGCUUGUGAGCUCUUUGGAAUGAAACAAUUCCAGAUUCUUUUAGCCACCGGACAGUCUCUAAGCACAUGAAGAGGGCUCUCCAAGUCCAAGCCACACCGAUCACAAAUGCCAUCUGAAUCAAGGUGCCUUCUCCUCAAUUCUAGUUUUGUCUUAAGUCUAUCAUGCAUCACUGUCCAGAUAAAAAUGCAGAUAUCUUGAGGACCCUUCCAUAGCCAGGCCAGCAGCCAAUUCGAAUCCUUAUCUUCAUAUUCCAAACCCGCAAGAUGGUGGUAGGCAGACUUAAUCGUGAAUAAACCUUUGCUGGAAGCUGACCAAUAAAUCGGAUCUUGUCCUCUAGUAGGAGUUGGCGGUUGGAUAGACGCAAUUUUGAGAACAAUAUGAUUCGGCAACAAAUGACUGAAAAUUUCCCACUUCCAUUGGUUGUCCAACGAAACAAAGUCAGCCACCUUACCAUGAAGGAUGUCCUCACCAACCGUGGCAGUGGCAUAAGCAAUGAGAGGUUUAUAUUUAACAGCCCAGCAGUCCUACCAGAACCUGACUUUCUCACCAUUUCCAAUAGACUAGCCCGUGCCCGUAAGAGUUUUGCUCCAAACCUUGCUUACUGAUCGCCAAAGAUAGGAGCAAUUUUUGUUAGAUAAUGCAAUCGGAGGAUUCAUAGGAUCAAAACCAUACUUCGUGCUCAAUACUCUAAUCCAAAGGCUAUUGGUUGAAGAAAGAAGAUCCCAACAAAUCUUCAUAAGCAUAGCUUGAUUCAUAAAAUUUAGAUUUUUAAAUCCCAAUCCACCACAAAUUUUCGGCUUACAAACUGUGCUCUAGCUGAUUUGACUUAGUUUCCUCUCUUUAUUAUUGCCACUCCACAAAAAACGUCGGCAUGCUUGGUCGACUUUGUACUUGACACCAUCCGGAAGAUUUGUCGGCAAAAAUGGGAAGUGCUUGUAGCACUGAUUGUGUGAGAGUUAUAGGCCCAGCCAAAGAAAGGUGAGAAGCAUUCCAAGAUGACAACCUCUUUUCCACUUUAUCCACAAUAUCUUGGUAAGUAUUCUUGGUAACCCUUGAAUGUAGAAGAGGCAUACCAAGAUACCUACCAAGAUUAUUAGAGAUAGUGAAACCUAGAGCCUUACUAAUACUCUUAGACAGAACCGCCGAGACAUUAGAAGAGAAAAAAAUGGAGGUCUUAGUAUUGUUCACCUUUUUCCCAGAGCUACAACAAAAUUCACCGAGGACCGCAUUGAUGAUUUGGGCUUGAUCAUGUGAAGCUUCAGCAAAUAACAAUAAGUCAUCCGCAAAAAAAAGGUAGGUGAGGGGGGUCCCCUGGCGUAACAACCGAAUUGGCUUCCACUUUCCAGCAUUGACAGCACUGCAAAUAGCAUGACUAAGCCGCUCCAUACAAAGCACGAAUAGAUAAGGAGAAAUAGGAUCACCCCGCUGAAUGCCUCUUGAAGGUGUAAAGUCCUCCGUAAACUCACCAUUCCAUAAAACAUUCAUCCGAGCAGUGGUGAUACAUUCCAUUAUAAUUCGGGUAAGAUUCUUCGGUAAACCGACCUCAAUUAAUGUCUCAAAUAUGAAAUCCUAGCUCAGCCUAUCAUAGACCUUUUCGAGAUCAACUUUGAUUGCCAUUUGCCCCACUCUUCCCCUUUAUUUCCUCAUAGUAUGAAUAACCUCCUGCGCCAUUUUCAAUAAUGUGUCAUCCCGGGACAAAGCUAGUUUGCUGCGGUCCAAUGAGAUAAGGAAGGAUGGACUUUAAGCGGUUAGCAAUCAGUUUGGUGAUAGCUUUAUAAGCGACUGAACAUAGACUGAUGGGUCGAAACAUCUUCAAACUUGUGGGAUUAUCAACUUUCGGGAUAAGCACGAGCAAUGUAUGAUUGAUAUCUGCCGGUAGUUGGCGGCUAUUAAAAAUUCCUUCACCAUUUGGCAAAAAGAAACACCAACAACGUGCCACUGACUCUGAUAGAAAAUAGCCGGAAAUCCGUCAACACCCGGAGCUUUCAGCAGCUUCAUAUUAAAGAUGGUUUGCUUGAUUUCAUCGUCAUUGAUAGGUGACAUUAGAAACUGCCAAGUGGAUUCAUCAAUACUUCGAAAAUAACCCGUGGGGAUAAGACACAAAACAAGCGUCAGUAUUUGUGUAAAGUGAAGAGAAUAAAUCAAUAGCAUGCUGUUUAAUCGCUGUGGGCUCGUAAAGCCAAGAGCCCUUCUCAUCCAUGAUAGCUUUGAUGCAGUUUCUAUGUCUCCUUGCUAAGGUUUUCUGGUGAAAAAAUUUUGUGUUUCGGUCCCCCAACAGAGCCCAGUCUUUUCGGGAUUUUUGAUGCCAAAACCACUCCUCCUGAUUAAGCACCUCCUCCAGCUCUUUUUUCAAUUUCUUUUGUAAGUGAAAAAGGCUUCUAGUGUAUUUAACCUCAAGAGCUCGUUGAAUACCUCCAAGCCUAGCUAACAAUCUCCUUUUCCGUUGAAAAAUAUUUCCAAAAAUCACCUUGUUCCACUGUAAUAAUUUGGGAGUGAAAUCAUGAAUCAUGUCACUAAAGGUAGUAUUAGACUUCCAAUGUGAGGCAACAAAUUUUCCAAACUUCUCAUUCGUGAGCCAAGCGGAUAAGAAACGAAAGGGCUUGUUAGCUUUGGAAGCUGAAUUAGUCUCCCCAAAUUUAACAAGAAUAGGUCGAUAAUCUGAGCCCACUUUCGGUAAAUGCAGUAACAUAUUUUCAGGGAACUCGGUCAACAAUUCACCAUUGCAAACAGCUCGGUCCAACCUUUUGUAAAGGCUACCACGUGACCAGAUGAAGCGAGGGCCUUGGAAAUCUAGAUCACAAAGAUUAUUGGAGUGAAACCAAUUUCUGAGCAGAGGACAAACUCCAUUUUUACUAUUGACACCACCCUUCUUUUCAGAGGCAUAAAGGAUCGUGUUGAAAUCCCCUCCCACCAGCCAAGGUCCUUGAAUCUACUUCGCAAUGCUUUCUAAAUGUUGCCAGAGUUGUUUACGGAUAACUGGAAUAGGACUUGCAUAAACAGCAGUGACCCAAGAAAUUAAGGAGCUGUUUUCAGACACCUGGAAGUGUAUAUAUUGCUUAUGAUUCCAUAUUAUAUUCACCUCAUAUGCAUUGUUCCAUAGUAUCCAAAUCCCACUAGAGAAUCCUUCAGCUUCCAUCUGAUGUGAACAGUGAAAGCCAUUAUGCUUAAUAAACACAUCAGCCUUAGCUCCACUAAUUCGGGUUUCCAUCAAAACCACCAUUUUAAGACUGAAAGCCUUGAUUAAGGUUCUGAACGAAAAGCGGAAACCAUUUGAAGCUGCUCCUUGGACAUUCCAAAACAUGUUGGAAAAAGCCAUAAGAGAAAAAUGGUGCAAGUAUUUAGAGUUAAACGGAGGUAACAAACCUCACACCAGCGGCCCUAAGACAUCUGGUAUUACUGCCAUGUCUUGCUCACUGACCAGAGAGGUGUCAUCAGUGGAAGUUCCGAAACCCUCCUCAUCAUUGGUGCCCCGGUAAUCACUAUCAUCACUAUCUUCAUCCAUAUCCUCAUUCAAAGCCACCCUACCAGUGUCAGGAGGUUCUUCUAGAGGAUCAAAGAGUUGAUUGUGGUACUUGGACACCGAACUGUUUUGCUUAGAGCAUCACCAAAAGGGUUUUCAAAUAAGAUUUUAUUAAUUAUUUGAAGAGCCACCUCAAUAUUUAAGGCUCCAAAAGACACUUCAAUUAAGAUUUUUCAAAUAAAAAGUGAUUCUCUCUCUUCAAAUUUAGAGAGUUGAUUUUUCCCUCUUCAAUUUAUAUUUUAUUACUUUUCAUUAGAGAAAAAGAGAGUACUUUAAUUGUUAUUGACUUUUUGUUUAAAAAAAUAAUUAUUUGAUUAAAAUAAUAUUAAGUUAUUUUUAUUUGAAUAGUCUUUUAGAGAAUAUCAUUUUUUUUACCUUUCUAUUUGUCACAUAAAUAAGUAAAUAGAUAUUUAAAUAGUAAAAUUUAUAAAAUUUUUUGGAGAUGCUCUUAGUACCUACUAGCAUGGUGUGGUUUGGGUCAAGGGGAGAAGGGUUACUGGUAUUAAAAGAGAUGGCUGAGUGGUGUUGUGGGUCUAAAGAUGUAGGGACACUGUAUGGAGUCAGGGAGGGCUGUAGUUCAUGGUCUUUAGUUUGAGUACAGAGAAUGUGUCGGUUUUGCAUGGGGUUGUUUAGUGACUUUUCGGUAGGAUUGGCUGUGUUAUGGGCUUUCAUGGAAUCUUGGGUUUUUCUUCUUUGGGCUUGUAAGGUCUGUUUAGUGGCUUGUGUUAAAGGCACGGGUAUUUUUCCUUGGUUUGAGAUGCUUGGUACCUAUCAAAUCCUGUAAAUUUGUGUUUGCGGGCACGUGGCUCCUUAACAUGGCAACUGAGGAUUCAUUUUCUAGACCUUGGUUCUCUUUUCCAUCCUCAUCUUCCAGCCGAGCCCCGAAUCGAGAUCCUUGAUUGAAGUUGCCUUUUUGAUUAUUAGCAUAAUCUUGAAGUUUCUCCUUCUCUUUCCCAUACUGAUUCCUUCUUUUUCGGGUAACCACCAUCCAUGGGCCACAGCGAGGAUCGCUUGGGGUAGCUUUCUCUGCAGUCGGAGCUGAUGGUAACUUGCUGCUUGAGAGAUCGUUUGAGUUAUGUGGAUCAACAUUAGCCUUAGGAUUCCCAAUAUUCUAACAGAUUGCAAAACUGAAUUGAUUCUCAUUGAAUAAACAACCGUAUAAAUACAAAACCAAGAGUGAUUGAAGAUCCUACAAACUAGGAAGGUUACAACUGAAUCCUAUAUCUACUAAUGACAGCUAAAUACAUUUGAAUAUAUUUAAAUAAUACAAACUGAUGAGAAAGACUAAGUCAAGUAACUGAUUAUCUCUAUUAUGCCCCCUCAAGAUGGAGCUCGGGAGAGAAGUCCAAUCUUGUGUUUAUGGUUAAGAAAACGUUGGCGUGGAAGUGGCUUGGUGAGAGCAUCUGCUAGCUGAUCUUCAGAAGAGACAUGAGCUACACGAAGAGCUCCAUUUUGAACUUGAUCCCUGAUAAAAUGAAAAUCUAUGGCAACAUGCUUCAUGCGGGAAUGAAAAAUUGGAUUUGACCAGAGUUGAGUUGCCCCUAUAUUAUCACAGUAAAUGACAGGGUAGUAAGGAAGCAAAAUACCAAGAUCAGUCAAGAGAUAACAAAUGAAAUUAAGUUCAGCAGCUGUAUUUGCAACGGAGCGAUACUCUGCCUCAGUGGAGGAUUUAGCAACUGUCCGUUGCUUUUUAGAGCUCCAGGAGAUAGGAUUUUUACCAAGAUAAACAACAUAAGCACUG